CCAUGGAUCUCCAGGUGGGUC
rnacentral:miRNA from 1 species